GACGAACGCUGGCGGCGUGCUUAACACAUGCAAGUCGAACGGAAAGGCCCUGCUUUUGUGGGGUGCUCGAGUGGCGAACGGGUGAGUAACACGUGAGUAACCUGCCCUUGACUUUGGGAUAACUUCAGGAAACUGGGGCUAAUACCGGAUAGGAGCUCCUGCUGCAUGGUGGGGGUUGGAAAGUUUCGGCGGUUGGGGAUGGACUCGCGGCUUAUCAGCUUGUUGGUGGGGUAGUGGCUUACCAAGGCUUUGACGGGUAGCCGGCCUGAGAGGGUGACCGGCCACAUUGGGACUGAGAUACGGCCCAGACUCCUCCGGGAGGCAGCAGUGGGGAAUAUUGCACAAUGGGCGGAAGCCUGAUGCAGCAACGCCGCGUGCGGGAUGACGGCCUUCGGGUUGUAACCCGCUUUCGCCUGUGACGAAGCGUGAGUGACGGUAAUGGGUAAAGAAGCACCGGCUAACUACGUG
rnacentral:rRNA from 1 species